UACAGAGGGGGCAAGCGUUGUUCGGAAUUACUGGGCGUAAAGGGCGCGUAGGCGGCCUUCUAAGUCGAACGUGAAAUCCCCGGGCUCAACCCGGGAACUGCGUCCGAUACUGGAAGGCUUGAAUCCGGGAGAGGGAUGCGGAAUUCCAGGUGUAGCGGUGAAAUGCGUAGAUAUCUGGAGGAGCACCGGUGGCGAAGGCGGCAUCCUGGACUGGUAUUGACGCUGGAGGCGACGGA
rnacentral:rRNA from 1 species